UAAAUAAAGUGCGGGAGGAUGGCUC
rnacentral:siRNA from 1 species